GACGAACGCUGGCGGCGUGCCUAAUACAUGCAAGUCGAGCGCAGGAAGCUGACGGAACUCUUCGGAGGGGAGGCAGUGGAAUGAGCGGCGGACGGGUGAGUAACACGUAAGGAACCUGCCUCAAGGAUUGGGAUAACUCCGAGAAAUCGGAGCUAAUACCGGAUAGUUCAACGGACCGCAUGGUCCGCUGAUGAAAGGCGCUUCGGCGUCACCUUGAGAUGGCCUUGCGGUGCAUUAGCUAGUUGGUGAGGUAACGGCCCACCAAGGCGACGAUGCAUAGCCGACCUGAGAGGGUGAUCGGCCACACUGGGACUGAGACACGGCCCAGACUCCUACGGGAGGCAGCAGUAGGGAAUCUUCCACAAUGGACGAAAGUCUGAUGGAGCAACGCCGCGUGAGUGAUGAAGGUUUUCGGAUCGUAAAACUCUGUUGUAAGGGAAGAACACGUACGAGAGGAAAUGCUCGUACCUUGACGGUACCUUACGAGAAAGCCACAGCUAACUACGUGCCAGCCGCCGCAGUAACAC
rnacentral:rRNA from 1 species